rnacentral:rRNA from 1 species
UGAGGAAUAUUGGUCAAUGGACGGAAGUCUGAACCAGCCAUGCCGCGUGAAGGAAUAAGGCCCUAUGGGUCGUAAACUUCUUUUGUGGUGGAGCAAUAAGAUCUACGCGUAGGUCGAUGAGAGUACAUCACGAAUAAGCAUCGGCUAACUCCGUGCCAGCAGCCGCGGUAAUACGGAGGAUGCGAGCGUUAUCCGGAUUUAUUGGGUUUAAAGGGUGCGCAGGCGGCGCGCCAAGUCAGCGGUCAAAGUUCCGGGCUCAACCCGGUGUCGCCGUUGAAACUGGCGUGCUCGAGUGCGUGCGAGGAAGGCGGAAUGCGUUGUGUAGCGGUGAAAUGCAUAGAUAUGACGCAGAACUCCGAUUGCGAAGGCAGCUUUCCAGCGCGCUACUGACGCUGAGGCACGAAAGCGUGGGGGAUC